GGGUCAUUAGCUCAGUCGGUAGAGCAUCCGCCUUUUAAGCGGGGUGUCGUUGGUUCGAAUCCAACAUGACCCACCA
rnacentral:tRNA from 1 species